UGUAUAUUUUGCUGUCUCCGACUUACUGAAAGUUAAUAAUUUGUUUGAAACGGUCUAAAAUAGUUGUACGUUUGUGAACAUAAUAUUAUAAUAAAAAAAAAGAUUCAGUGCGUGGUUUUAUACCUGUCGUUGGACGUUUUUAGGGAUAAGAGCCUUCACCAAUAAUCUCAUCGCAUUGCUGUGUAUUAAGUUGAACUAGUGAGAAUCAAAAAUACCAAAAAUCACUACUAAAAUGGAUGAUUACAACGAGACCAUGAUCAAAAUAGAGGAAGACGAGGACGUUAAACAGUAUUUUAACGAAGCCCUAAUGAAUGAACCAGAGCUGAAUCACAUUGAAGAUACACGCAACAGUUCUCAGACAAACUAUACCGAUUAUCAAAAAACAAUUGACGGACUUAGUGAAGCAGGAGAAAUUAAAAUAGAAAUAGGAGAAACGGACAAUUAUUGUUUUAAGCCUGUUUUUGAAGUGGAAG